UGUGUCCUGAAAGUCAUGUGAAAAAGCCUUCUAAGGAAGGAAGAGCAGCAUCUGGGCCAUCUGCUACCUACAAUGUGGCCUGAGAGCUUUCCAAGGACUUCCAAAAGCGUAGGCCUCCAACGACUGUGGAAAGGCCAACCUCCAUAGUGUGUAUGGAACACUGGGAAAAAGAAACUGGAGACAGUGAAUGUAGGUUCACCUUUAGGGCUACGUUACUUUAAAAAACACAACAAGAACAAAAGAAAGCUGGGACACUGUGGAUAACCCCAGUUUUCUUAGGUGUUGUCUUUGUGUAUUAGCGUGAAGAAUUAAUACUUGCCAAGUGAGUACAUUACUUUUGCAAGGAGGCAAACACGCACAACGCCUAAUAAAUGUCUACUGAAUACUGUGGAAACAGUAGAAAAUUGACGUACUAUUGAAUUAUCAUAACUAUGAACACUCUCUGGAUAAGGUCAUCUCAGAAAUUACCAAAUCGAGAUCAACUCUGUUGUUAAAGAUACUCAUUUUACUCACGUAAAAUGGGUGCCCUUGCCACUUCCGUCUCUCGCAAAUGCUCAUUUUCUAAGAAGGGAUUUCAGAGUGAAGCAGAAGCCAGGAACCCAUUGCCACACCCCACACCACACGUGUCCUAGAACUGAUGCCUCCAGUGACAGGAGAGUAGAGAGUGGAGGGUGUGGAGAGCGGGAGGAGAGGUGGGGAACAAGAGCAACCGAUUCUUAGAUGCCGGGUCUAAGUCUGUGACUCAUUUCUUCUGAGGCUCUGCCAUCUUGCUCUAAUGACUUCGAGUCCAAGCCCAAGAGUGCAUUUACCUUUUUUCCAUGUUUAAAGCUUUAUUUAUUUAUUUUGCAGGGAUGGGGACAGCAGCAAGGUCUUGCUACUGUGUUCUGCGCCACCUUUAAAGGUCAUCCAAGACGUCACGAUAUGGAAGUCACAGCAAAUAUUUAAUCUGAAAAUAACUUUGAAAUAAGGGUAACGUCAAAGAUGACAUCUGCAAUCAGAGGAAGGAUCUGUAAGUUAGACUAUGGUUACAGCCGUUUACUGGCGUGGGUCCUUCCUCUCCUAGCUAUAUAAGCAAUAGCAGCUGCUUAUAAGAAUGAGAUAUGAAACCAUAUCUAACACACUCACAGAGAAUAUGGCCAAUGCAUUUUAAAUCUACUAACAACCGCUUAUUUUUAGAAUUGUGGCUAAAUCAGAAGCUAAAAAUACUGCGAGGAAAAAACUGACUGGCUCACAACUGUCCAGUCGUAUUACAUUGUAGCACUGAUCGCCGGGACCAGCAAGGACUGUCAUGACCCGGGGCAGAUCACGAAGAUGUGACCUCCCUCUCCCAAGUCCAUGUGGGCACCGUGAAGCACAUAACCAUGUUUAGAAGGUGGCAACUUUCACAGGGAAGGGUCUGGAAAGGUAAAACAUCGACAGUGUGCAGGAUUGUGGUGACAUCCGGGCAUGUGUACAGGCAGCAGGGAAGUCAUAGAUACCAACAUGUACAGAUCAGCUGACCUAUCAGUCGGGAAAGUUCUAGCAGUACCCAUGCAAUCACAACUAGAUGGAUACAAGGAACAUGGAGCAUUCUUAAUAAUCAAACAGAUAAGAAGGAAAGUUAGAAUCUUGACCAUGGCUGCGAGGGUGCUGCUUAGAAAGAGUUGGCUGGCUUGGUUUUCUUUUCUCUUUCAAACAACACAAGAGCAUGAAAGUAUGAAGAGUUGCACUGAGUUCAAACGAUGCUAACUUUCCUCUGACUCUUACAUCACAGCCCACAGAAACAGUCAUGAAAGGAAGCAAUGCAUUCUGGGCUAACAGUAGCCUGAGGUUUUUCUACAACCAAGCUUCGUGCCUGAAGAGCUAGUUUUACAGCAUAGAUCUCUCUUGGAUCAAACCAGCACCCCUGGAGGUACCCAGAGUUCCUGGACGCAGCAGCAGGGUUCCCCUAAUCGCUGGUUAUUCUGUUUGUUGCCAGUUUGCCAUAUCCCAUGAGGCCCACCUUGUACGAGGAAUACCAUCGUACCGUUUUACAUAGACCAUUAAGCAACAGCCGUGAUACCAUUCACUUAAAAAAAGAAACAUCCUUGAGGUUUAUGUGAUCUGGUUUGGUUUUAGUAUUCAGUUUUGAAAUUAAGCCAACUGUGGAGGCGUGUGUCUGUAAUCCCAGUGUGUGGGAGGUACAGGCAGGAGGAUCAGGAGUUCAAAGCCAGUCCUGGCUACACAGGGAGUUAGAGGAAUUAUAUAAGACCCUGACUCAACAAACAAACAACAAUGUGUUGAGCUUAAUGUGUCGAGCUGGAAGGUGGGGGCUGAAAUGAGAACCUUGGCAAUCUCUGCUGGAUGUGCCAAUGUGGCUGCCAGACAGAGCUGGGCUUUGCUUGAGAUUCUGGAACAUUCCAUCAUUCCGUCUGGAUACCGCAUGGUACAGAUCAGGCUUCUGUGAAUGGGGAACAGAGGCCCCACCCAGUCCCUGAUUUGAUGGUUCCUUCAACUGCUGUCCCCUGCUCAUCUGCAGCGUGACAGGAAGAGCAGUGACACUUGCGGGGAAAGGAGCCAUUGACAAUAAUAUGUACCAUUGCCUGUGAGGGAACACAUGGCAUAUUUGUGGCCAUUUGCUUAGGAAGAAUUGCAGAGGGCUAGACCUCAUUUAAAGGACUCGUUUUGUUUUCUGGAAAACAGACUGAAGGCCUGAUCCUGGUACUGGUUACUUGGACCCCUGAAGUCGAGUAAGCUGCUGCCAAGGUGCCCUGGCAACAGUGAAGACUAGGAAAUCAGGCCCCUUAGACCAUGGAAGGCCUUCCCCACUACCUCUAGGCCCUGCUUGUCCGUCCUGGGUCCAGGGCAUCAGGCAGAGAGUGCUUGCCCUGUUUUUGCCACCUGAGUACGUGAAACGAUAACUCGGCCAGUAUAUACACAGCUUAAGGGCUGGGGUGUGUUUCUUGGUGGCUUAACAAAUAAGGGGCAGAGCCGGAAAUGAUAGCUCGAACUUGUGAUUCCAGCAUUCCUUAGGAGUAUGAGAUUCAGGAGUUAAAGGUCGUCUCUGACUACAUAGCAACUUCAAGGCCAGCCUAGGCUGCCUGCUACCCUGUCUCAAUAAAAUAAAAUAAGGCUGGGGAUUGAAUAUAACAGUGUAGAGCGUUUGCCUAGCAUGGGUAAGACCCUGGAUCUCCAGAACGACAAUGAAAUAAAAGAUUUAUUCACUCCAAGUUCUACAACUAGAAAUUAGACUGAUAUUUGAACCCUGGCCCUGGACUGACUAAGUAAUGCGGGAUAAGUAACCACUGGAUAACUUCUCAACAAUCAGAGCAAAGUGUGCAGUGGCUAAGGGGUCCUUUCUUGCAGCUUCUGCAGCCUUUGGGACUUCCCUGGACCAUGUUCCUCACUUCUGGGGUGGCCUCCAGCACCUCAUAUGCUGGUCGCUCCUUUAACGGAACUGAAAAUACUUGCAGUAUUUUGCAAAGGUCACCUGUUACUAAUCAUCUAUCCUCCUGAGGACUCAGACCACAAGAACACACACAUACAUGUGAGAGUGUGCACACACACACAUGUACACACACACACACGCAGGAAUGCAUGCACAGGCAUUAAUCUGGCUGGUUUAAAGGCAAUGAGAGGCAGGAAAGUAGACCAAUUGUAGAACACAGUUUCCAGAGGAUUAAGUAAACCUCAGUGCAGGGCCAGAGAAAGGCUGGGACCUGCCCCCAGGGAAUCAAUUCUAAGGACCUUGAUAAAAUGAACAAAGCUAGGGUAAGCAAGAAGGGUUAAAUGGGAUGUUCUCUAGGAGAACAAACUAAUUAAGUGGUUGGUCUUGUAUACCGUUAUUCUCAGCACCUUCCCGAGACGCAGUAGAGAGGGCCCACCAGGUUCAAUGACCAUCAAUAAAGACCACCCAUACCGCUUCAAAAAAUAUUUUUGGUUUUGAGGCUCUGCUCCUUCUCAAGGUCUUCCCCACCACUUUGUUGGGUUUCAAAAAUCUGUGAAAAUGACCCAAACUUUUAUACAAACUCACGGCUGAAUGACUAAAAGCAUGGACUUCCGACGAGCCACACACUUGGAACACUGUUUAUAACCAGCUAGGGAAACGUAGCCAUCAGCUACCGCCUCGCUGGCUAAUUAGGUCUAACAAGGCCUACUUCUCCUGACUUUUACCAGAAUCAAAUGAGAAGUGAAUGCAAACUCCCUGGCACCGUGCUUGUCACACUGGGGCCUUUGUGAGUGACAGCGCAGUCAUUAAGUGAACCAGAAAGAGGCAUCGAGGGCGUGGCAUGUGCAUGGGCGUGGCGUGUGCAUGGGCGUGGCAUGUGCAAGGGCAAGGUAUGUGCUUGCCAAGCGUUCGUGAUGAUCUGAGUUUCAUCCCUAGCAGUUUUUAUUUUAUUUUUAAUUAUUUGUACAUGGGUACGUGCACAUAUGUGCGUGUUGUGAAGGCCAGGGGCCUCAUUUGACCCGGAUGCUAGAGUUUCAGCUCGGUGUGAGUAGUUGUCCUUUGCAAAUGCCGGAACCGAACUCCAAUCCUCUAGGAGAGCACCCGCUCUCAGCCAUCUCUCCUGCUCCUAGUGGUUUAACAGAGGCAUUUCUAUCUAUCCUAAAUCAGGGGCGACAAAUCUAUGAAACAAUCCUUUCUGCGGCUCACGAAUAACAAGGUAUAUUCAGUGGUAUCCACCCAACUCUCUCAACAAGGUUCCUGGGCCUGGCUUACAACUUCAAUGCCACAGUGGCCCAGAACCAGGAGGAGGGAGGAGGCGGGUAUCACUGUAUUAUACACACAGUCAUUUUCCCUCUGUUGAAAGUUGUCUGUCCCUUUGAGGACUCUAGUUCCCAGAGAGCAGAGGCCGCUGGGAAACAGGAAGUCGUGGUGAGCCAAAGAGAAAACCCCCAGAUGGAGAUCAGCAGUAAAUCUCUCCGGGCUACACUGUGGUCCGAAGGCGGGAAAUUCUUAGAGACGGAAUGUUGGCCCCGAGGGAGAGACACAGAACAAGGGUUGAGUGAGUUCCUCUGACAAGAAUGGAUGCCAUUUGCUUUUUGGUGUUGUCGAGAAGAGCAGCACUCACUGGCCAGAUACCAGAACUAGGGAUGGGAGGAUCUUCAUGUUCUGCCUGGAUCUGCUACAGCACAGAUCAUUUUCCGUGUAACGAGCCUCCAUCUUGACUUAAAAGCUGUACAAAGGACUGUAGACAUUGUGGUGUCCAAAUGAAGCUUUCAUCUGUCUUCUGUGAGGAGGGCUCUAACUCUCCUGGCCCUCAGGGAAGAGGCAGCACAGUUUGGGAGGCCAGGUCGCAGGUCUUUAUGGUCUCAGACCCUAAGGCCAUGCUGUUUGGGCUCCAGUCAGGUUAUUCCACAGGAUGUUGCCAAACUCUCUGGUCCCAGGAGUCUUCAUCUUUCAACGAGAGAAAAUAAUAGUUGUCCCUUUCUGGAGCUGCUGGUCGGGCUGAAAGAUCUUAGUAUAUAAAGGGGACUGUUGCUGUUGCUGUCUCUGCACAUUUGGCAACAGUACUACUAGGGAAAAGUGCAAGGAAUGGCAAAAGACGAUGCUUCUGUGUUUCUACUCCAAAUCCACCCACGUGUGUAAUGCCAGCAUUUAACGCCUCAGCUUUGCCACAUCCUGAUUUCAUCUCCCUCCUCUGAAUUCAGUUGUUUAUUACUCUUAACACCAAAGAGACUUUGCAUUUCUCCUCCUCCUCUUCCUCUCCCUCUUCCUCCUCCUCCUUCUCUUCCUCAUCUUCCUCCUCCUCCUUUUCCUCUUCCUCAUCUUCCUUCUCCUCCUUUUCCUCCUUCCCCUUCUUCUUCCCCUUCCCCUUCGUCUUUGUCUUCAUCCUCCAUUAAUUUCCAUCAAAUGCAAGCCAGUUAGUGUCUCGGGCCACAGCCAGCCUCUGUAAUACAGAGAAAGCUGAAGGAUUAUAUUUCAAAAACGGCCUCUCUUUUUUUUUUAAUGUCUAAUUUAGAGACUUUAGAAAGUUCCAGAAAAGUGAAUUUCUUCACAAAAUUGUGAGAACCUUUAAACUUAAUGAAUUUCUGUUUCUAAGAGUGGGGGUGUGGGGUUGGCUUUUUAUAAAUAUCAAAUCAUGUUGUUAUCUUUUUAUAAAUAUCAAAUCAUGUUGUUAUCUACAGAGUCUGCCAGUUGGUUAAAUAGAGCCAAAUUCUGUUCAGUGUGAUAAUUACUGAAUUUGACAUUCACAGAGGUUCUUUUAUAAUUCUGGGAAUAAGAAAUCCACAAACUCAUUAAAUUACAAAAUGUUUCAACCCUA